CAGGAAAUCAGGAAACUGGAAACAUGGCAAGAACCUCUCAAGGGAAUCCAAUGGUCCAUGUCAUCUGAAGAAGAGGCCUUGGAACGGAGAAGAACUGAUCAGGCAUGAGCAUCCAGCAGGUGCUUACGAAGUGACCCCUAAAAGGACUGGGACGAGGAGGCCUGUAGUGUGACAUUCUCCAUCUGCCUGGGCACAGUCCACCUCUACAAUCAGAUGGAUGCUGAGGGGAAAGUAAAGCAGGAAAACUCCUCAUCUCUGCCUGUGGCAGCGCAGCACCUCACAGAAUCUGAGAACCCCAGAGGCUGUACCAUCCAGAACACAGUUCAGAGAGCUGAAGCCACCUUCCCAAAGUCACACAGCCCAAUGGAGGCAGGGCUGAAAUCCUGUUCUCUUGUCUUCUGAGAAAGAGCUUUGACAGUUUCACCCCGGGGGACAACAAAAUCUGUCUCAGAGACAGACUGGUGAGUGGAGGCUGUGGGGAGUUGGACCCUGGAGUGGCUUAGGGGGAACAUCCUCAGGCAGGAGCUCUACCAAGAUGAAAGCAGGAGCCGAACCUCCACUGGGCUGGGGCCUGAGCCCUGGACAUGUUAGUGCCACUCUGAAUAAGCCUGCCUCCUUUGCCACAUUUCAAGAAUUCGGCGAAUUCUUAAAAUAUCCACAGCCCCAAGGGGGUGGGGACUGGAGCUGAGGCUUCCCCCACUUCGGGGACGGAGCUGGCCGAGGUGGGCGGCCACCAGGGCGGCAGCGGGUUGACGCUGACGGACUGGCUGGCCGGGGUCCCCAGCCUGGCGCGGUCACCAUUACUGCACAUCCGCUCAGCAUUACCUCCCCUUCUGCACUAGUAAUUAAGAAACACCUGGGUUUCUGCGUCAGGCUGCGCGUUGGCGGAGAGCGCCCCCUCCCACCGUGGAGGGGACCCUAGUCCUCCCCUCCAGGCCCUGGUGUGGCGCCCGGGUCUCCUCCCAGGGUCUCCCACGGUGGGGGUCGAGGCCGGGGACUCCAAGGCUGCACCCACCCCCUUCAAGAUGGCCGAAGCCCCCCCAGAACUUGGAGGCCGAUCGGGCUCCUCGAGGUGCGUGGUUGCCAGCGCUCUCGCCCAUGCCAGCUUUCUCACAAACGAACAGCUUGUAUCCCCAUGAAAAUCAAUGGAUGGAACAAAUUGUAUUAAAUUAUGUAAAAUGAUACUAAAGAGCACAUUCUACCAGUGAAUAGGAAAAAGAAAUCACACCCCCCACCCCCACCCCCAGAAAAUCUUAUUUUAAUAAAUCUGGCAAAAAAUUAUAGAAGACAAUUAGGAAGAGGUGCGGGGGGGGGGGAGUGCGGAACCAUGCUUAAAUUUUUAUGACACUUAAAGAUACAUCUCCUGGCCCAUCAGCAGAGAGACUCGGGGAUUUAUCCCCUCGUAGGUCAGACGCGCGUAAUUCUUUUGUGUGUCUGACACCUGUGAGUUAUUUAUCGCCCCUGCACUCUAGCCAGAGACAUCUCCUGCCCGGCUCCCUUCCGUGGCGACAGACUGGACCGGGCAGCAGAAA